rnacentral:rRNA from 1 species
GAGUUUGAUCGUGGCUCAGGAUGAACGCUAGCGGCAGGCUUAAUACAUGCAAGUCGAACGGUAACAGGGUAGCAAUACCGCUGACGAGUGGCAGACGGGUGAGGAACACGUACACAACCUCCCUCUUUUCGGGAAAUAGCCUUCGGAAACGAAGAUUAAUGUCCCAUAACAUUGCGAGACGGCAUCAUUUUGCAAUUAAAACUCCGGUGAAAAGAGAUGGGUGUGCGUCUGAUUAGCUAGUUGGUAGGGUAACGGCCUACCAAGGCGAUGAUCAGUAGCUGGUGUGAGAGCACGACCAGCCACACGGACACUGAGAUACGGGUCCGACUCCUACGGGAGGCAGCAGCAAGGAAUAUUGGUCAAUGGAGGCAACUCUGAACCCAGCCAUGCCGCGUGCAGGAUGAAGGCCCUCUGGGUUGUAAACUGCUUUUAUCUGGGAAGAAAUCUCCUUUUCUAAGG